UGGCGUGGGAGUGGAACCACAUGUCGAUGCACUCGAUGUGGAAGCGGUGGCCGCACCUCGGGAGGGCCCGCAUCUUCUCCCCCUCCUCGAACUCAUUCAGGCACACCGGGCACUCCACCACGUCGUCGUCCCCCUCCUCGCCGCCCGCUGCGGCGGCGAAAACGAAAACUGGGAGGGAUUUGAGGACAGUGGGGUUGAGACCGCGGUGGUCGGCGGAGGAAGAGGAGGGAAGGGUGCCGUCGACGAAGAAGAUCAGGCGUCGCCUGAGGCGGCGAUGGCGACGUCGGAGGAGGAAAAAUCGCGAGCGGAAGUAGAGGUGGAGGAACAGUAGGAGCAGGACGGCAGCGAAGAGGACGACGGUAGAUGUGAGCAUAACCUUGCCGCUUAGGGCGUAGCCGCGAGGACCCGGGUUCAGAUCACCAUCGGGUUUCGCAUCCAUUACGCUGCUUCACCGCCCGUCCCGACGAAAUGGAG
rnacentral:lncRNA from 1 species